rnacentral:rRNA from 1 species
ACCCGCUGAAUUUAAGCAUAUAGGUAGGCGGAGGAAAUCAAACCAAAUGGAAUUUCUUAAGUAAUUGCGAACGAACAUGAAUUUGCUCAUUUUGGGAAUUGGGGCCCAUGGCCUUGAAAUGUAAUAUUGAAAUGCCUUGCCAAUGGAGGUCCAGGUGAGUGCCUCUGGAAAAAGAGCAGCAAUGAGGGUGAAAUUCCUGUUUGCCAUCUGCAGUCCCCUGUGUACUGUGCGCAGUUUUGGAUUCACGCUCUUUGGGAUUGGAGUGCAAAGUGGGUGGUAAGUUUCAUGUAAAGGUAAAUACAAGAUUGAGACCGAUAGCAAACAAGUACCUUGAGGGAAAAAUGAAAAGGACUUUGAAAAGAGAGUUAAAAGAGUCUGAAUUUGCUGAAUGGAAAGCAAACAGAACAAAUUGUGUUGGGUAAGACUGCUGGUUGUUGUUGGCAUUGCUGCUUUCCAUAUGCAAGUGUGGACUGUUGCUUGUGACCAAAAUAAUAACAGUGGUUCUUGCCUUCAGUGUCAGCUUCAAUUUGCGAAUUGGUAUUUUAUUUGGAAUCGUGAUUUGCUUGCGGGUGUGAUUGUGUUUUCAUUUGCGAUUGUUUGCAAUUUGAAAUAUCUGUCUGGUGUUUGCCAAUUCAUUUUGGAUUUGUUUUAUACAAACCGUCUCCGGUUUGAGCAAACAAUUGUGCCCCUGAUACAACAGUGCUGACGACAUGUUUCUGCUUGACCCGUCUUGAAACACGGACCAAGGAGUCUAACAGAUGUGCAAGUUCUUGGGUGGGUAAACCUGUCUGCGCAAUGAAAGUAUUAGCUUGAAUUCUUGCACCAGCAACCAACCGACUUACAGAAACAGGUUUGAGUUUGAGUAUGUCUGUUAAGACCCGAAAGAUGGUGAACUAUGCCUGAAGAGGGUAAGUUCAGGGGAAACUCUGAUGGAGGCUCAUAGCGAUACUGACGUGCAAAUCGUUCGUCACAUUUGGGUAUAGGGGCGAAAGACUAAUCGAACCAUCUAGUAGCUGGUUCCCUCCGAAGUUUCCCUCAGGAUAGCUGGAUUUCUGUAGUUUUAUCAGGUAAAGCGAAUGAUUAGAGGAAUUGGGGAUGUGUUGUCCUUGACCUAUGCUCAAACUUUAAAUGGGUAAGAUGCAGUGGUUGCUUUUGUGAACUUUUGGGACAAAUUGAAUUUCCAAGUGGGCCAUUUUUGGUAAGCAGAACUGGCGAUGAGGGAUGAACCUAACGUGGGGCUAAGGUGCUCAACUGCUUGCUCAUCAGAUACCAUAAAGGGUGUUGUUUCAUUUAAACAGCUGGACGGUGGUCAUGGAAGUUGAAAUCCGCUAAGGAGUGUGUAACAACUCACCUGCCGAAUGGACUAGCCCCGAAAAUGGAUGGCGCUUAAGCGGGCGACCGAUACCCUACCAAUGAUGCAAGCUUUAUGCAUCAGUGCGUAGGAGGGCAUGGGGGUUUGUAGUGCAGCUUCUGGUGUGAACCUGGGUGAAACAGCUCCUAGUGCAGAUCUUGGUGGUAGUAGC